AAAGUCGUAACAAGGUUUCCGUAGGUGAACCUGCGGAAGGAUCAUUACAACGUAUCCACGUACCAAACUCUCGAACUGUUCCCAAUGAAGAUGAAGUUAAUGGUCGAGCUGCCUUUCGCUGAUGGAGUUCGCCUGGCGAACUGAAAGGCUCUCGAUUGCCAGCUGACCUUCGGGCCUGCCUGGUACUUCAUUCACUUCAUUGUGGUUUUUCCCAUCAGCAUUGUUUUACCAUUAUUAACCCUUUUACAAUUCGAACUGAACUAUGAAAUCAAGCAGCUGUCCUCGCUGGCUUCGGUCACGGACUGUUGGUUGUUUUCACACAUACGAAACAAAGAACAACUCUUAGCAACGGAUAUCUUGGCUCUC
rnacentral:misc_RNA from 1 species